rnacentral:rRNA from 1 species
UCGCUGACGAGUGGCGGACGGGUGAGUAAUGUCUGGGAAACUGCCUGAUGGAGGGGGAUAACUACUGGAAACGGUAGCUAAUACCGCAUAACGUCGCAAGACCAAAGAGGGGGACCUUCGGGCCUCUUGCCAUCGGAUGUGCCCAGAUGGGAUUAGCUUGUUGGUGGGGUAACGGCUCACCAAGGCGACGAUCCCUAGCUGGUCUGAGAGGAUGACCAGCCACACUGGAACUGAGACACGGUCCAGACUCCUACGGGAGGCAGCAGUGGGGAAUAUUGCACAAUGGGCGCAAGCCUGAUGCAGCCAUGCCGCGUGUAUGAAGAAGGCCUUCGGGUUGUAAAGUACUUUCAGCGGGGAGGAAGGGAGUAAAGUUAAUACCUUUGCUCAUUGACGUUACCCGCAGAAGAAGCACCGGCUAACUCCGUGCCAGCAGCCGCGGCAAUACGGAGGGUGCAAGCGUUAAUCGGAAUUACUGGGCGUAAAGCGCA